AACGGCCGUACCAUGCUGAAUAUACCGGUUCUCGUUAGAUCACCGAAGUUAAGCAUCAUUGGGCGCGGUCAGUACUUGGGUGGGUGACCACCUGGGAACGCUGCGUGCCGUU
rnacentral:rRNA from 1 species